rnacentral:lncRNA from 1 species
UGACAGGUACCAUGCUCUGAGCAUCUUCAACAGGAGGCCUAGUUAUCAUUGCUAGUAAAUGCCGUGUGCCUGUGACCCAAAUUCCAUUAACCCACUCUUUUGCUGCAUAUUUGCAAGAGAUAAGGGCUAAAUCCUUUUAUGGCCCUACAAAGUUGAAAAACCAUCCCGUGUGCCUGUGACAUGUGGGUCACUCUAUGUCAAUGACUUGUGGGCCUAGGAGCAUUCAAGGAGUGUUUUGCUUGACCUGUGAUAUUAGAUGAUAGUAUCAUAGUCGUAUUGUUUCUUGAUCUUGCCAAAUAGUAUGACAUAACUUUUGUUGCUUCCUUGCUAACAUACGCUACCCUCCUUGCUAACAUACGCUACCCUCCUUGCUAACAUACGCUACCAAUCGGGCGUCUUUGUUGGCACGUUUCUGGAUCUCUGAAUGCUACACAACAAGCACAUUAUUGUGGCCUGUUUCUUUUCAACUGUUUGCCUGUAGUUGUCUUGGUAUACAAUCAGUCGGCACAUGUUGACACAGUUGCAUCCUUCAUGCUACAGUUGUAGCCACUAUUUUAUGAGCCAUUGCCAAGAACAACACUUGCUAGGCAAGUAUUCUAAGAAAGAGUGGCA